rnacentral:tRNA from 1 species
GUAGAUAUAGUUUAAACAAAACGCUAAACUGUGAAUUUAGAUAUAGGAACUUGAAACCCCUUAUCUACC